GACGAACGCUGGCGGCGUGCUUAACACAUGCAAGUCGUACGGUAAGGCCCUUUCGGGGGUACACGAGUGGCGAACGGGUGCGUAACACGUGAGUAACCUGCCCACAACUUUGGGAUAACGCUAGGAAACUGGUGCUAAUACUGGAUAUGUGCUCCUGCUGCAUGGUGGGGGUUGGAAAGCUCCGGCGGUUGUGGAUGGACUCGCGGCCUAUCAGCUUGUUGGUGGGGUAGUGGCCUACCAAGGCGGCGACGGGUAGCCGGCCUGAGAGGGUGACCGGCCACAUUGGGACUGAGAUACGGCCCAGACUCCUACGGGAGGCAGCAGUGGGGAAUAUUGCACAAUGGGCGCAAGCCUGAUGCAGCAACGCCGCGUGCGGGAUGACGGCCUUCGGGUUGUAAACCGCUUUCAGCAGGGACGAAGCUUUUUGUGACGGUACCUGCAGAAGAAGCACCGGCUAACUACGUG
rnacentral:rRNA from 1 species